rnacentral:rRNA from 1 species
UACGGGGGGGGCAAGCGUUGUUCGGAAUUACUGGGCGUAAAGGGCUCGUAGGCGGCCAACUAAGUCAGACGUGAAAUCCCUCGGCUUAACCGGGGAACUGCAUCUGAUACUGGAUGGCUCGAGUUUGGGAGAGGGAUGCGGAAUUCCAGGUGUAGCGGUGAAAUGCGUAGAUAUCGGGAGGAACACCAAUGGCGAAGGCAGCUCGCUGGGACGUGACUGACGCUGAGACGCGAAAGCGUGGGGAGCAAACAGG